GAUGAACGCUGGCGGCGUGCCUAAUACAUGCAAGUCGAGCGAACGGACGAGAAGCUUGUUUCUCUGAUGUUAGCGGCGGACGGGUGAGUAACACGUGGAUAACCUACCUAUAAGACUGGGAUAACUUCGGGAAACCGUAGCUAAUACCGGAUAAUAUUUUGAACCGCAUGGUUCAAAAGUGAAAGACGGUCUUGCUGUCACUUAUAGAUGGAUCCGCUCUGCAUUAGCUAGUUGGUAAGGUAACGGCUUACCAAGGCAACGAUGCAUAGCCGACCUGAGAGGGUGAUCGGCCACACUGGAACUGAGACACGGUCCAGACUCCUACGGGAGGCAGCAGUAGGGAAUCUUCCGCAAUGGGCGAAAGCCUGACGGAGCAACGCCGCGUGAGUGAUGAAGGUCUUCGGAUCGUAAAACUCUGUUAUUAGGGAAGAACAUAUGUGUAAGUAACUGUGCACAUCUUGACGGUACCUAAUCAGAAAGCCACGGCUAACUACGUG
rnacentral:rRNA from 1 species